rnacentral:lncRNA from 1 species
AAAAACAGAAAUAGACAGUCCCGCCUCACUGCAUUUUAUUGGAGUUUUCGAUAAAGUAAAGAGAGAAGAAAACGUCAAAUCUCUUCACUCUCCCUAUCCUAGACACUUGACUUGAGAGCGCUUCAUUGAGGAAAAAGUCGAAAGCGAAAGGUGCGUAGGAUAAGCCGCGUGAUGGGUGUAGUUUAGGGAGAUUCUUGCCUCUCUGCUAAUUUCUGGGCAAUGGCGGAAAUACUUUGAACUCUAAUGGGUGCACCCCUAUUUUAGCUCUUUUUUCACUUGAGUGUAGCUUGUUUUCUUGGUGGAUUGUGUUUUUUGGCGAACAAUGGCAACUGCUGCGCAUUUUAGCCGUUGUCAGAGGAGGAGAGGAGCAGCUGGAGUAACUUUGUUCUUGCUUUAUCUCUGGGGUUCUCUAAUCUCGCUAUCUUCCGCCGCUAGGCUAUCAUUGUUGAGAUAUUGGCUAUGAUGAUACACUAUUCUGAGCCUAAUAAUUGGUCAUUUCCUUAA